GAGCAGCCUGUGAGCCUCCAGGGCACCUGUGCUGGGCAAUGGGAAGGGAGGUGGUGUCUGGCUGCAGUGCCACAGUACAUGUUUGCAUAUAACUGGGGCUGCCAGUACCCACGGGUAGCCCUUUUAACUGCCAACAACAUGG